rnacentral:lncRNA from 1 species
CCACGUCAGCAGGCCCAGUCAGCAGUCCUGGCCAACCAGGACCUGCCACGUGGCAAGACCACGUCGACCCGGGGACGGGCCACGUUGGCGAUCCGCGUACGCGCGAUCGGACGACCCAGAUCAAGCGUGCGCACGGACGGCCCAGAUGCAAUCGCACGGACGGUCCAGAUUCAAUCAAAAACGGACGGCCCAGAUUAAAUCAAAAUGGACGGCUGAGAUCAAAAGGCAAAAGGGUAUAAAUAGAACCCCCACACCUGACCACAAAAACCCUAGCCGCCUGCCCUCGUCGGAGAAGACGAACCAGACGCCGGAGGAGCCGGCCGCCGCCACCCGCCGUCGCACC